AUACGUAGGGGGCGAGCGUUGUCCGGAAUGAUUGGGCGUAAAGGGCGCGUAGGCGGCGCGGUAAGUCUGGAGUGAAAGUCCUGCUUUCAAGGUGGGAAUUGCUUUGGAUACUGCCGCGCUUGAGUGCAGGAGAGGUUAUCGGAAUUCCCGGUGUAGCGGUGAAAUGCGUAGAGAUCGGGAGGAACACCAGUGGCGAAGGCGGGUAACUGGACUGCAACUGACGCUGAGGCGCGAAAGUGUGGGGAGCAAACAGGAUUAGAUACCCUGGUAGUCCACACUGUAAGCGAUGAAUGCUAGGUGUAGGGGGUAUCGACCCCUUCUGUGCCGCAGUCAACACAAUAAGCAUUCCGCCUGGGGAGUACGGCCGCAAGGUUGAAACUCAAAGGAAUUGACGGGG
rnacentral:rRNA from 1 species